CCGAGUUUACAACUCCCAAACCCCAUGUGAACCUUACCAAAACGUUGCUUCGGCGGGAUGCCCCGGGCGCGGGCCGCAAGGCCUCAGCCCCGGAACCAGGCGCCCGCCGGAGGCCCAAACCAAACUCUUUCUGUAGUCCCCUCGCGGACGUAUUUCUUACAGCUCUGAGCAAAAAUUCAAAAUGAAUCA
rnacentral:misc_RNA from 1 species